rnacentral:rRNA from 1 species
GACCUACGGGGCGCAGCAGUGGGGGAUAUUGCACAAUGGGGGGAACCAUGAUGCAGCGACGCCGCGUGGGUGAAGAAGUCAUUCGUGACGUAAAGCCCUAUCAGCAGGGAAGAAAAUGACGGUACCUGACUAAGAAGCCCCGGCUAACUACGUGCCAGAAGCAGCGGUGGUACGUAGGGGGCAAGCGUUAUCCGGAUUUACUGGGUGUAAAGGGAGCGUAGACGGCGGCGCAAGUCCGGAGGG